rnacentral:rRNA from 1 species
GACGAACGCUGGCGGCGUGCUUAACACAUGCCAGUCGAACGGAAAGGCCCUGCUUUUGUGGGGUGCUCGAGUGGCGAACGGGUGAGUAACACGGGAGUAACCUGCCCUUGACUUUGGGAUAACUUCAGGAAACUGGGGCUAAUACCGGAUAGGAGCUCCUGCUGCAUGGUGGGGGUUGGAAAGUUUCGGCGGUUGGGGAUGGACUCGCGGCUUAUCAGCUUGUUGGGGGGGUAGUGGCUUACCAAGGCUUUGACGGGUAGCCGGCCUGAGAGGGUGACCGGCCCCAUUGGGACUGAGAUACGGCCCAGACUCCUACGGGAGGCAGCAGUGGGGAAUAUUGCACAAUGGGCGGAAGCCUGAUGCAGCAACGCCGCGUGCGGGAUGACGGCCUUCGGGUUGUAAACCGCUUUCGCCUGUGACGAAGCGUGAGUGACGGUAAUGGGUAAAGAAGCACCGGCUAACUACGUG